UAAAAUGCGCAAAUAUUUUAAAUAAGCAACUGGUUAUAAAAUACUCAUUGUUGUUGGAGAAUAUUCGUUUGGUCGUGGAAUAUUCUUACUGUCGGGGAAUAUUCGUAUGACGGCACAUCCUUCUGUGGGCCCAUAACGAAAAGCGAUUGGAUGAAGAAAACGACAAGUAUAAGUUGUUUAUAAAUAACGGCGCAGUUGUUACCGUUAAUACUGUUGGAAUACCCGGUGGUUAAAACACAGUAAUACGCGUUGUUGCACAGUAGCACAUGGUAUUGCACCAAUUAUUGAUUCUUACGUAAGAAGGCACUACUCAAUAAUUGUUAUAGUAAUUACUGUUCAGUAUUGAUUCAAUAAUUGCUGCGUUGAUAUUUUAUAUUACUGUUGUUUCAAUAAUUGUC
rnacentral:lncRNA from 1 species